rnacentral:lncRNA from 1 species
GCCUGCUGCUGCUUCUGGCCUGGGAGGGGACAGCUUCAAUGAGGGAGAGAAAUGAAAUGAGCUAAACUGGGCUCUUCUAAGUAAUGCUGGGGACACGGCAGGCUGAAGACUUCAUUACUCAGCCUCCCUUUUCAGCUACAAGUGGCCACAUUACUCCACACUGGCCAGAAGGAUGUAAGUCAAAGCGCUACGUGACAAUUCUGUGAACUGUCCCCAAAGGGGGGCAUGCCUUUCUCUCCUUCUGGCUAGAACGAGGAUGGCAUGAAGGGGCUCCAGCUGCCAUCUGGGUCCACGUGAUGACCUUGGAAAUGGAAAGCACAUCCAGUAGAACUACAAGAUGGGAGCUGAGGUCUCUGACAUCACAAUGGGCCAGUCCUCCCUCAGCCAGACCACCUCUGACUAUUUGAACAUGGAAGAGAAAUAAACUUUCUUGUUUAGGCCACUAUUAUUUUGAGAAUUUCUGUGAUAACUGAGCCUAUUGGC